rnacentral:misc_RNA from 1 species
UAAUCAAAUAUAAGCAUAAAUGGGCGUAUUAAUAAUAGUAAGAAAAAGCAAGACUAUAUUACCAUCUCAUAUUCACCAAUAUAUUUUUAGUAGCCAAGUCGUCUGCUCUUAAACAUAACAUUUAAAUCUUUGAAUAAGGAGGACUCCAUUUCAUAAAAGUUUACCAAUUACAUUUUCAACAUCCAUUAAGAGAUUACCAUUUAAUAAAAUGCAACUUUAAUUUCCAAUAACACAGAGGAUAGUUACUAAAUUAAUCUUUCAAUAACAUGU